rnacentral:rRNA from 1 species
CUCUGUGACUCCUACGGGUAGGCAGCAGUGGGGAAUAUUGCACAAUGGGCGCAAGCCUGAUGCAGCCAUGCCGCGUGUGUGAAGAAGGCCUUCGGGUUGUAAAGCACUUUCAGUUGUGAGGAAGGUGGUGUCGUUAAUAGCGGCAUCAUUUGACGUUUAGCAACAGAAGAAGCACCGGCUAACUCCGUGCCAGCAGCCGCGGUAAUACGGAGGGUGCGAGCGUUAAUCGGAAUUACUGGGCGUAAAGCGCAUGCAGGCGGCCUGUUAAGUCAGAUGUGAAAGCCCGGGGCUUAACCUCGGAAUUGCAUUUGAAACUGGCAGGCUAGAGUCUUGUAGAGGGGGUAGAAUUUCAGGUGUAGCGGUGAAAUGCGUAGAGAUCUGAAGGAAUACCAGUGGCGAAGGCGGCCCCCUGGACAAAGACUGACGCUCAGAUGCGAAAGCGUGGGGAGCAAACAGGAUUAGAUACCCUGGUAG